UUUUUGUUCUUGGAUUUUGAGCGCGCAUCAAAGGUUUGAGAAACUCUGGAGCUGAUAUGAUACACGGUUUCCAGGUCGGCGAAUAAAUGUAUUCCAAAACAGACCUGGAAGAAAUGAAGAACUGCACUACAACUUGUCAGACUGUAACGCUGAACUUACUGCAGCUCCAGGCAGGAGUGGAUAUUUUCUGGAAAGACUACUAUCUUUAGUAGAAAUAUUUGCAUACCGGCCUUCAUGGAUAGAAGAAGAACUCUUCCUGUUCGGUGUUAAGGGCUUGACAGACAGGAAAGGUGGUGAGGGAGAGGGUGUGACAUGCAACACAGGACUUCAGCUUUAGUACACUGGGUGAGCCACCAGGAUGCCCCUGUCCAUGUGGUGUUUUUAUAUUUCUUUUAUAAGACACAUAAUAAACAAA